rnacentral:rRNA from 1 species
GAUGAACGCUAGCGACAGGCCUAACACAUGCAAGUCGAGGGGCAGCACAAGGUAGCAAUACUGAGGUGGCGACCGGCGCACGGGUGAGUAACGCGUAUGCAACCUGCCUGUAACAGGGGAAUAGCCUCUUGAAAGAGAGAUUAAUGCCGCAUAAUACGAGAUUCGGGCAUCCGGAUUUAGUUAAACAUUUAUGGGUUACAGAUGGGCAUGCGUUUCAUUAGGUAGUUGGUGAGGUAACGGCUCACCAAGCCGACGAUGAAUAGGGGUUCUGAGAGGAAGGUCCCCCACACUGGUACUGAGACACGGACCAGACUCCUACGGGAGGCAGCAGUGAGGAAUAUUGGUCAAUGGACGCAAGUCUGAACCAGCCAAGUCGCGUGAAGGAUGAAGGUAUUAUGUAUUGUAAACUUCUUUUGUCAGGGAAUAAUGGGUGUCACGUGUGACGCAGAGGAAUGUACCUUAUGAAUAAGCAUCGGCUAACUCCGUGCCAGCAGCCGCGGUAAUACGGAGGAUGCGAGCGUUAUCCGGAUUUAUUGGGUUUAAAGGGUGCGUAGGCGGUUUAUUAAGUCAGUGGUGAAAGUUUUCGGCUCAACCGGAAAAUUGCCAUUGAAACUGAUAGACUUGAGUGUAAACGAGGUAGGCGGAAUUCGUGGUGUAGCGGUGAAAUGCUUAGAUAUCACGAAGAACUCCNNUUGCGAAGGCAGCUUACUAGGCUACAACUGACGCUGAAGCACGAAAGCGUGGGGNUCAAACAGGAUUAGAUACCCUGGUAGUCCA